rnacentral:rRNA from 1 species
AGUGAACGCUGGCGGUAGGCUUAACACAUGCAAGUCGAACGGCGGCACCGUAAGAGCUUGCUCUUACGGGUGGCGCGCGUCGGACGAGUGAGGAAUACUCCGGAAUCUACUUUUUAGUGGGGAAUAAAGAAGGGCAACUUACGCUAAUACCGCAUAGGACCUACGGGUGAAAGCAGGGGAUCUUCGGACCUUACGUGAUUGACUGAGCCGAUGUCGGAUUAGCAAGUUGGCGGGGUAAAGGCCCACCAGGGCGACGAACCGUAGCUGGUCUGAGAGGAUGAUCAGCCAGACUGUAACUGAGACACGGUCCACAGUCCUACAGGAGCGAGCAGUGGGGAAUAUUGGACAAGGGGCGCAAGCCUGAUCCAGCCAGACCGCGUGGGUGAAGAAGGCCUUCGGGUUGUAAAGCCCUGUUGUUGGGAAAGAAAAGCAUCAGGUUAAUACCCCGCUGUUCUGACGGUACCCGAAGAAUAAGCACCGGCUAACUUCGUG